GACGAACGCUGGCGGCGUGCCUAAUACAUGCAAGUUGAGCGAUGAAGAUUGGUGCUUGCACCAAUUUGAAGAGCAGCGAACGGGUGAGUAACGCGUGGGGAAUCUGCCUUUGAGCGGGGGACAACAUUUGGAAACGAAUGCUAAUACCGCAUAACAACUUUAAACAUAAGUUUUAAGUUUGAAAGAUGCAAUUGCAUCACUCAAAGAUGAUCCCGCGUUGUAUUAGCUAGUUGGUGAGGUAAAGGCUCACCAAGGCCAUGAUACAUAGCCGACCUGAGAGGGUGAUCGGCCACAUUGGGACUGAGACACGGCCCAAACUCCUACGGGAGGCAGCAGUAGGGAAUCUUCGGCAAUGGACGAAAGUCUGACCGAGCAACGCCGCGUGAGUGAAGAAGGUUUUCGGAUCGUAAAACUCUGUUGGUAGAGAAGAACGUUGGUGAGAGUGGAAAGCUCAUCAAGUGACGGUAACUACCCAGAAAGGGACGGCUAACUACGUG
rnacentral:rRNA from 1 species